GCCAGACUCCUACGGGAGGCAGCAGUCGGGGAUAUUGCACAAUCAGCGAAAGCUGGAUGCAGCGACGCCGCGUGGGCGAUGAAGGCCUUCGGGUUGUAAAGCCCUUUUCUGGGGGAAGAGACAAGGACGGUACCCCAGGAAUAAGUCCCGGCUAACUACGUGCCAGCAGCCGCGGUAAAACGUAGGGGACGAGCGUUAUCCGGAUUUACUGGGCGUAAAGAGCGUUGAGGCGGUUUCGUAAGUUGGACGUGAAAGCCCCGGGCUCAACUCGGGGAGGUCGUUCAAUACUGCGAGACUUGAGGGCAGCAGAGGGAGGUGGAAUUCCCGGUGUAGCGGUGAAAUGCGUAGAGAUCGGGAGGAACACCAGUGGCGAAGGCGGCCUCCUGGGCUGCUCCUGACGCUGAAGGCGAAAGCUAGGGUAGCAAACGGGAUUAGAGACCCCGGUAGUCCUAGCCGUAAACGAUGGAUGCUGGGUGUGGGGGGUAUAGACUCCCUCCGUGCCGAAGCUAACGCGUUAAGCAUCCCGCCUGGGGAGUACGGCCGCAAGGCUAAAACUCAAACGAAUUGACGGGUCCCCGCACAAGCAGCGGAGCGUGUGGUUUAAUUCGAUGCUACACGAAGAACCUUACCUGGGUUUGACAUGUGGGUAGUAGUGAAGCGAAAGCGGAACGACCCUUCGGGGAGCCUACACAGGUGCUGCAUGGCUGUCGUCAGCUCGUGCCGUGAGGUGUCGGGUUAAGUCCCGUAACGAGCGCAACCCUUACCCUUAGUUAUAUGUGUCUAAGGGGACUGCCCGGGACAACUGGGAGGAAGGUGGGGAUGACGUCAAGUCAGCAUGGCCUUUAUGUCCAGGGCUACACACACGCUACAAUGGCCGGUACAAUGGGUCGCCAAGCCGUGAGGCGGAGCCAAUCCUCUAAAGCCGGUCUAAGUUCGGAUUGCAGGCUGCAACUCGCCUGCAUGAAGCUGGAGUUGCUAGUAACCGCGCGUCAGCAAUAGUGCGGUGAAUACGUUCCCGGGGAUUGUACACACCGCCCGUCACGUCAUAGAAGCUGGUAACACCUAAAGCCAGUGAGCUAACCUAACGGAAGCAGCUGUCAAAGGUGGGACUGGUAACUGGGACGAAGUCGUAACAAGGUAGCCGUAGCGGAAGCUGCGGCUG
rnacentral:rRNA from 1 species